rnacentral:rRNA from 1 species
UGGCGGACGGGUGAGUAACGCGUGGGGAACCUGCCUUGCACCGGGGGAUAACACUUAGAAAUAGGUGCUAAUACCGCAUAAGCGCACAGAGCCGUAUGGCUCAGUGUGAAAAACUCCGGUGGUGCAAGAUGGACCCGCGUCUGAUUAGCUGGUUGGCGGGGUAACGGCCCACCAAGGCGACGAUCAGUAGCCGGCCUGAGAGGGUGAACGGCCACAUUGGGACUGAGACACGGCCCAAACUCCUACGGAAGGCAGCAG